rnacentral:rRNA from 1 species
GAUGAACGCUAGCGGCAGGCCUAAUACAUGCAAGUCGAACGGUGUCUUCGGACAUAGUGGCGCACGGGUGCGUAACACGUAUGCAACCUACCUUACAUUGGGGGAUAGCCUUUCGAAAGGGAGAUUAAUACCGCAUAAGACAGUAGCUGGGCAUCCAGCAGCUGUUAAAGAUUUAUCGAUGUAAGCUGGGCAUGUGUCCAAUUAGCGAGUUGGUGAGGUAACGGCUCACCAAGGCAAUGAUUGGUAGGGGAACUGAGAGGUCAAUCCCCCACACUGGCACUGAGAUACGGGCCAGACUCCUACGGGAGGCAGCAGUAGGGAAUAUUGGGCAAUGGACGCAAGUCUGACCCAGCCAUGCCGCGCGCAGGAUGAAGGCGUUAUGCGUUGUAAACUGCUUUUAUACAGGAAGAAACGACUCUUGCGAGAGGCAUUGACGGUACUGUAUGAAUAAGCACCGGCUAACUCCGUGCCAGCCGCCGCGGUAACAC